CAAGUUGUGAUUGUUCUAAUAUAACACACUUGCUUGAUUUGUGUCUUACAGAGUUAGUGGGUCCAAGAAUCAGUGGAUAGCAGCAGGUCUCAGUAGACCUUUUUCUACAACAAUAACUUCCAUAGCAAUUCAUACAACAUUCACGACAUUAAUUCUAUCAAGGUGGAUUGAGGAACCAAGGGGCAUAAUACAAUCGUGAAAAAAGGAUAAAAGUUCGAACACUAAUGAGCCAAAUCUGACCAGCUCCAGGUUCUUUUCAAUUCCGUAGACAUCAACAAGACAUUCAAGCCAGGACCUAUAAACUGGUAAUUAUACCAUUUUUCUUCUAUUUGAAGAAGCUAUGAUCACAAGAGAAGUUCUAUUGAGAAAGAUCAAUUCAGCUUCCACUAGCGUGGUAUACUGGAUCAUGAUCAUAUACCGGCAGUGCUUGGUUACCCACAUAGCUGUAACAUGGGAAACUAUAUUAUGUUUCCGCAGUUCAGUUUUUUCGUCAUCAAUAUUUAUGUAUUAGUGCUGCUAUAUCAAUAUAUGUCACUGAACAAUGCUCAAAUUCCCAUGUUGAUCCAUUCCAAAUGGACUAUGCAGCUUUAGUGAUUAAGUUCAGAUAGUUGA